rnacentral:rRNA from 1 species
AGAGUUUGAUCCUGGCUCAGAUUGAACGCUGGCGGCAUGCCUUACACAUGCAAGUCGAACGGUAACAGGUCUUCGGAUGCUGACGAGUGGCGAACGGGUGAGUAAUACAUCGGAACGUGCCCGAUCGUGGGGGAUAACGGAGCGAAAGCUUUGCUAAUACCGCAUAAGAUCUGAGGAUGAAAGCAGGGGACCGCAAGGCCUUGCGCGGACGGAGCGGCCGAUGGCAGAUUAGGUAGUUGGUGGGAUAAAAGCCUACCAAGCCGACGAUCUGUAGCUGGUCUGAGAGGACGACCAGCCACACUGGGACUGAGACACGGCCCAGACUCCUACGGGAGGCAGCAGUGGGGAAUUUUGGACAAUGGGCGCAAGCCUGAUCCAGCCAUGCCGCGUGCAGGAUGAAGGCCCUCGGGUUGUAAACUGCUUUUGUACGGAACGAAAAGGCCCUGGAUAAUACCUGGGGGUUGCUGAUGGUACCGUAAGAAUAAGCACCGGCUAACUACGUGCCAGCAGCCCCGGUAAUACGUAGGGUGCAAGCGUUAAUCGGNAUUACUGGGCGUAAAGCGUGCCCAGGCGGU